rnacentral:lncRNA from 1 species
CCACUCUGCUCCCCCUUUUUUUUUGCUUUGCUUUAUGCCAUGAGAUGCGCCUUGACGCUUUUGUCUCCCGAUGGCAGUGUCCUGCCGAAGCGCUUCUCCUGCCAUAGGGGAUUCCGCUAAAGUCCGCAAUCCAACGUCUGAAGAAGAAGGUUUAUCAUUUAACAAAAAGGUCGAAGAAGAUGGAUGGCGAGCUUCGCAGG